GGGUUGUGAGGUUAAGCGACUAAGCGUACACGGUGGAUGCCCUGGCAGUCAGAGGCGAUGAAGGACGUGCUAAUCUGCGAUAAGCGUCGGUAAGGUGAUAUGAACCGUUAUAACCGGCGAUUUCCGAAUGGGGAAACCCAGUGUGAUUCGUCACACUAUCAUUAACUGAAUCCAUAGGUUAAUGAGGCGAACCGGGGGAACUGAAACAUCUAAGUACCCCGAGGAAAAGAAAUCAACCGAGAUUCCCCAGUAGCGGCGAGCGAACGGGGAGCAGCCCAGAGCCUGAAUCAGUGUGUGUGUUAGUGGAAGCGUCUGGAAAGGCGCGCGAUACAGGGUGACAGCCCCGUACACAAAAAUGCACAUACUGUGAGCUCGAUGAGUAGGGCGGGACACGUGGUAUCCUGUCUGAAUAUGGGGGGACCAUCCUCCAAGGCUAAAUACUCCUGACUGACCGAUAGUGAACCAGUACCGUGAGGGAAAGGCGAAAAGAACCCCGGCGAGGGGAGUGAAAAAGAACCUGAAACCGUGUACGUACAAGCAGUGGGAGCCUCUUUUAUGGGGUGACUGCGUACCUUUUGUAUAAUGGGUCAGCGACUUAUAUUCUGUAGCAAGGUUAACCGAAUAGGGGAGCCGAAGGGAAACCGAGUCUUAACCGGGCGUUAAGUUGCAGGGUAUAGACCCGAAACCCGGUGAUCUAGCCAUGGGCAGGUUGAAGGUUGGGUAACACUAACUGGAGGACCGAACCGACUAAUGUUGAAAAAUUAGCGGAUGACUUGUGGCUGGGGGUGAAAGGCCAAUCAAACCGGGAGAUAGCUGGUUCUCCCCGAAAGCUAUUUAGGUAGCGCCUCGUGAAUUCAUCUCCGGGGGUAGAGCACUGUUUCGGCAAGGGGGUCAUCCCGACUUACCAACCCGAUGCAAACUGCGAAUACCGGAGAAUGUUAUCACGGGAGACACACGGCGGGUGCUAACGUCCGUCGUGAAGAGGGAAACAACCCAGACCGCCAGCUAAGGUCCCAAAGUCAUGGUUAAGUGGGAAACGAUGUGGGAAGGCCCAGACAGCCAGGAUGUUGGCUUAGAAGCAGCCAUCAUUUAAAGAAAGCGUAAUAGCUCACUGGUCGAGUCGGCCUGCGCGGAAGAUGUAACGGGGCUAAACCAUGCACCGAAGCUGCGGCAGCGACACUGUGUGUUGUUGGGUAGGGGAGCGUUCUGUAAGCCUGUGAAGGUGUACUGUGAGGUAUGCUGGAGGUAUCAGAAGUGCGAAUGCUGACAUAAGUAACGAUAAAGCGGGUGAAAAGCCCGCUCGCCGGAAGACCAAGGGUUCCUGUCCAACGUUAAUCGGGGCAGGGUGAGUCGACCCCUAAGGCGAGGCCGAAAGGCGUAGUCGAUGGGAAACAGGUUAAUAUUCCUGUACUUGGUGUUACUGCGAAGGGGGGACGGAGAAGGCUAUGUUGGCCGGGCGACGGUUGUCCCGGUUUAAGCGUGUAGGCUGGUUUUCCAGGCAAAUCCGGAAAAUCAAGGCUGAGGCGUGAUGACGAGGCACUACGGUGCUGAAGCAACAAAUGCCCUGCUUCCAGGAAAAGCCUCUAAGCAUCAGGUAACAUCAAAUCGUACCCCAAACCGACACAGGUGGUCAGGUAGAGAAUACCAAGGCGCUUGAGAGAACUCGGGUGAAGGAACUAGGCAAAAUGGUGCCGUAACUUCGGGAGAAGGCACGCUGAUAUGUAGGUGAAGUCCCUCGCGGAUGGAGCUGAAAUCAGUCGAAGAUACCAGCUGGCUGCAACUGUUUAUUAAAAACACAGCACUGUGCAAACACGAAAGUGGACGUAUACGGUGUGACGCCUGCCCGGUGCCGGAAGGUUAAUUGAUGGGGUCAGCGCAAGCGAAGCUCUUGAUCGAAGCCCCGGUAAACGGCGGCCGUAACUAUAACGGUCCUAAGGUAGCGAAAUUCCUUGUCGGGUAAGUUCCGACCUGCACGAAUGGCGUAAUGAUGGCCAGGCUGUCUCCACCCGAGACUCAGUGAAAUUGAACUCGCUGUGAAGAUGCAGUGUACCCGCGGCAAGACGGAAAGACCCCGUGAACCUUUACUAUAGCUUGACACUGAACAUUGAGCCUUGAUGUGUAGGAUAGGUGGGAGGCUUUGAAGUGUGGACGCCAGUCUGCAUGGAGCCGACCUUGAAAUACCACCCUUUAAUGUUUGAUGUUCUAACGUGGACCCGUGAUCCGGGUUGCGGACAGUGUCUGGUGGGUAGUUUGACUGGGGCGGUCUCCUCCUAAAGAGUAACGGAGGAGCACGAAGGUUGGCUAAUCCUGGUCGGACAUCAGGAGGUUAGUGCAAUGGCAUAAGCCAGCUUGACUGCGAGCGUGACGGCGCGAGCAGGUGCGAAAGCAGGUCAUAGUGAUCCGGUGGUUCUGAAUGGAAGGGCCAUCGCUCAACGGAUAAAAGGUACUCCGGGGAUAACAGGCUGAUACCGCCCAAGAGUUCAUAUCGACGGCGGUGUUUGGCACCUCGAUGUCGGCUCAUCACAUCCUGGGGCUGAAGUAGGUCCCAAGGGUAUGGCUGUUCGCCAUUUAAAGUGGUACGCGAGCUGGGUUUAGAACGUCGUGAGACAGUUCGGUCCCUAUCUGCCGUGGGCGCUGGAGAACUGAGGGGGGCUGCUCCUAGUACGAGAGGACCGGAGUGGACGCAUCACUGGUGUUCGGGUUGUCAUGCCAAUGGCACUGCCCGGUAGCUAAAUGCGGAAGAGAUAAGUGCUGAAAGCAUCUAAGCACGAAACUUGCCCCGAGAUGAGUUCUCCCUGACCCUUUAAGGGUCCUGAAGGAACGUUGAAGACGACGACGUUGAUAGGCCGGGUGUGUAAGCGCAGCGAUGCGUUGAGCUAACCGGUACUAAUGAACCGUGAGGCUUAACCUUACAACGCCGAAGGUGUUU
rnacentral:rRNA from 1 species